rnacentral:tRNA from 1 species
GGGCUCAUAGCUCAGUGGUAGAGCGCUUUUCUGAUAAAAAAGAGGUCGAUGGUUCGAAUCCAUCUGAGCCCA